CAUCGGCAAGUCUUGUCCGACGUCCUUACGCAAAAUCGCAGUGCGUCGCAAUUUUACGUCCUACAUGAUAUACAUUAUUAACACUAUUUCCCUCGACUGCACAUUAUAAAGUAUAUUGCGGCUAGAUAACGAUGACGCGCGCGCGUGUGUGUGUGUGUGUCUCGUCGCUCACUAGUAUAGAUCUAUCCAGACAGCGUUGUCCAUAAUUUAAUAUAUUGUGCUCACUAGACUAUUUCUACGACAAUAUACGUGUUCCGAUCAUUGUUAACACGUUGUCUAGAAAAUUAAUACAUAUUUAUCAUAAUAUCAUUCUUCUGUAUAUGUAUUUUUAUCACACACGAGUCGUGUCUCUCGUCUCCGACCUAGUCCUGAUUUGCACGUCGCUUCCACGCAUACGUACUAUGUUAACGAUAUAAAAUAUUAUAAGAGUGUAAAAAUAAUAUACUUGUAGCAACCUAAAGUCGAUUUUUUCUAAUUUUAUUGUUUUUUUUUUAUACCUGUGAACAAUAUUAUUGUUGUGUCUGAGGAAAUUCAAACUAUUUCUUGUUAAUUGCAUGUACCUACAGUGUACACGUAUCUGCCUACACUACACUCGUCGAUCGCCAGGCUCAAGAGAAAAGAAAACACGGCGUGUUAUUGUUUAUCGAUUGUACACUAUUAAAUACUAAUAAGUAAUAAUAAAUGUGAAAUAAUAUUAUGACUAUGUGACAUUUUACAAAAUAUGCCUAAAUUAUAAUGAGAAUUAUUUCCCUUAUGAAUUUGUAUCCUUACGUAAUAUCUAUCCUUAUUGUUACAGCUGGGAGCACGACGGCGGCCACCUGAGAAUGCCUAUAUAUGCUACACGAGAACAACACCAUCCACACGCUGGCAAUUGGCGUAACAUCACAGUCACAAUAUUAUGCGAUCAAUAUGAAUAAUAUGUGUACACUCAAAGCUCAUUGUCAAUACAAAUUUCGAUACUUAACGCUGUUUUGUCGUUUAAAUAAUACACUUCUGAAUUUGUUUUUUAUGACAACGCAAUAAUUUACUACAUACUGCAUUGUACCUAUUACCUGGUGAAAUCAAGAAUAAGAGUCUUAUGCUGUAUAAAUAUAUUAUAAUAUAUUAUGACAUAUUGAA